rnacentral:rRNA from 1 species
CACGUAGGGGGCAAGCGUUGUCCGGAUUUAUUGGGCGUAAAGAGCUCGUAGGUGGUUCGGUAAGUCGGGUGUUAAACCCCCAGGCUCAACCUGGGGACGCCACUCGAUACUGCUGUGACUAGAGUCCGGUAGGGGAGCGUGGAAUUCCUGGUGUAGCGGUGAAAUGCGCAGAUAUCAGGAGGAACACCAGCGGCGAAGGCGGCGCUCUGGGCCGGUACUGACACUGAGGAGCGAAAGCGUGGGUAGCGAACAGG